UCUCACUACAAGAAAAUAGUUUUUAACCGAGGAAUUUCCGAGUAAAAUUAGUCUCUCGGUAAUUACCGAGUGAUUUUCGAGAUAUUAGCGAGGAAUAACGCAUCCCCAAAUUACCGAGCAAUGUACCGAGUAUUUACCGAGUAUUAUCUUUAGCGAGAGAAACUUUCCCUCGGUAAUACUUAACUGUUAGUUUUAUUUAUCCACAUAUAUCGACUUCUUUCUCAUAUUCUCUCCUAAAAUUUAAACCCUAGCUCGCUCCCCUCGAUUUCACCGCCCACCACCCGCCGCCCGUCACUACUCCGCCACCACCUUUCUUCGCCGCUUCCCUGGAACAACUCAGAGAUUAGAGAAAACUUCAAGGUAGCUCGAGAAAUUGAGACAAAAUCAACCUUUCAAAAUGAUUUCCUGAAUCAGCUGCGAAUGACAUUGAUUAAAGCUCAAGCAGGGGUGAAAAACAACAUGAGGAGAUUCAACAAGAGCACAAUUUGAAAAGGAUCAGGCCAUGUAAUGCAUGAUAUUCUUUUUGCAUUGCUUCUAUUUUUUCUGGUCUAUUUUUGAAUGAUGUACUAUCUUGUAAAAGUUUGCAUUUGAUGCCAUCAUGAGUUGGCUAUCAUAACUGAUUUACCAGUGUACAUGAAGUUUCUUGUAGAGGAAUGAAUUGUAAUUAAAAUAUUA